GGACGUUUCUGCUGCGGCCAACCCUGACAAGAAACGAUGUUAAUAGAAGGACUGGAGUCAAAUGGAUUACUUGUGGAUUACUUGUGGAUUACUUGUGGAUUACUUGUGGAUUACUUGUGGAUUACUCGUGGAUUACUUGUGGAUUACUGUGAUGUUUUUUUCGGACUCUCAUUCUGACGGCACCCAUUCACUGCAGAGCAUCCAUUGUUUCUCACAGGAUGUCGAAUGUAAAAGAAGUGUCAUGCAGUGUGAGCGCUGAACGUGUUGGAGAUGCACCUGCAGUGGGCCGCAGGAAGCGCACACAAUAGAGUUUGUGUCAGCUCUGAGCAUCCUGUUUGGGAGGAAGUCAAGAUUCCUUUGGAUACGUGCACAUGCACAUUAACGUCCCAUUCACUAUUUACACUUUUACACACAUGUAAGCUUAACGUCAACAAGAGAUUUCUUUAUUAAUGCACAUUUCUGCUUGUAUUAUGCAUGAAUCCUCAGUACGUUUGAUUUCUAAUCUUUCAUCAAAAUGAAAUAACUUGCUCUGAAAUGACUUUUCUUUUCAGCUGAUGUCAUCAGCACCUCUUACUUUUCAUGACUAUUCACCAUCCAAUCAAUUCUUAUGGAUAAAAUCAAGUCUGGUCCGACAUGUU